GGCCUAACACAUGCAAGUCGAGCGGUAGAGAGAAGCUUGCUUCUCUUGAGAGCGGCGGACGGGUGAGUAAUGCCUAGGAAUCUGCCUGGUAGUGGGGGAUAACGUUCGGAAACGGACGCUAAUACCGCAUACGUCCUACGGGAGAAAGCAGGGGACCUUCGGGCCUUGCGCUAUCAGAUGAGCCUAGGUCGGAUUAGCUAGNUGGUGGGGUAAUGGCUCACCAAGGCGACGAUCCGUAACUGGUCUGAGAGGAUGAUCAGUCACACUGGAACUGAGACACGGUCCAGACUCCUACGGGAGGCAGCAGUGGGGAAUAUUGGACAAUGGGCGAAAGCCUGAUCCAGCCAUGCCGCGUGUGUGAAGAAGGUCUUCGGAUUGUAAAGCACUUUAAGUUGGGAGGAAGGGUUGUAGAUUAAUACUCUGCAAUUUUGACGUUACCGACAGAAUAAGCACCGGCUAACUCUGUGCCAGCAGCCGCGGUAAUACAGAGGGUGCAAGCGUUAAUCGGAAUUACUGGGCGUAAAGCGCGCGUAGGUGGUUAGUUAAGUUGGAUGUGAAAUCCCCGG
rnacentral:rRNA from 1 species